UACAGAGGGUGCAAGCGUUAAUCGGAAUUACUGGGCGUAAAGCGUGCGUAGACGGUUGCGUAAGUCAGAUGUGAAAGCCCCGGGCUCAACCUGGGAAUUGCAUUUGAGACUGCGUAGCUAGGGUGCGGAAGAGGGAAGCGGAAUUUCCGGUGUAGCGGUGAAAUGCGUAGAUAUCGGAAGGAACAUCAGUGGCGAAAGCGGCUUCCUGGACCAGCACCGACGUUCAGGCACGAAAGCGUGGGGAGCAAACAGG
rnacentral:rRNA from 1 species